rnacentral:rRNA from 1 species
AUUGAACGCUGGCGGCAUGCCUUACACAUGCAAGUCGAACGGUAACAGGUCUUCGGAUGCUGACGAGUGGCGAACGGGUGAGUAAUACACCGGAACGUGCCUAGUAGUGGGGGAUAACUACUCGAAAGAGCGGCUAAUACCGCAUGAGAUCUACGGAUGAAAGCAGGGGAUCGCAAGACCUUGUGCUACUAGAGCGGCCGAUGGCAGAUUAGGUAGUUGGUGGGAUAAAAGCUUACCAAGCCGACGAUCUGUAGCUGGUCUGAGAGGACGAUCAGCCACACUGGGACUGAGACUCGGCCCAGACUCCUACGGGAGGCAGCAGUGGGGAAUUUUGGACAAUGGGCGAAAGCCUGAUCCAGCAAUGCCGCGUGCAGGAUGAAGGCCUUCGGGUUGUAAACUGCUUUUGUACGGAACGAAAAGCCCCGGGUUAAUACCCUGGGGUCAUGACGGUACCGUAAGAAUAAGCACCGGCUAACUACGUGCCAGCCGCCGCGGUAA